rnacentral:rRNA from 1 species
UACGUAGGUGGCAAGCGUUGUCCGGAUUUACUGGGCGUAAAGAGCGCGCAGGCGGUCGUUCAAGUCGCGUGUGAAAGCCCCCGGCUCAACUGGGGAGGGUCACGCGAUACUGAUCGACUCGAAGGCAGGAGAGGGUAGUGGAAUUCCCGGUGUAGUGGUGAAAUGCGUAGAUAUCGGGAGGAACACCAGUGGCGAAGGCGGCGAUCUGGACAGAUAUUGACGCUGAGGUGCGAAAGCGUGGGGAGCAAACAGG